AUUUUUAGCAAUGAAAAGAGACUUUAUUUAGAUUGGGAAAGGACUUUCCCCUUGUGUCCCCUGUCACUCUGAGUCACCUCCCAUGGCACCUUAACUUCGGAAUCCUGACGCUGCUUGACAAGAAGAAUGGCCCUCAGGUGGAGAAGGAUUUUACCAGAUGCCAAGAGAGGCUGAGGUAUUGCAACCCCCUGGGGAAGAGUAGCAGAGGUGCAGGAGCCAGGAGAGGCCUGCAGGAGCAGCGAGAGCUACGGGGGUCCUGGCAUGGCCCCAGCUGGCAGUGUGAGGCGUGAAUCCCCAGAAUAAGAAGUUUGGACAGAAUCUCGCAGGAAAUGGGGAGCCCUGAAGGCCAGGACAAUGCAUGGAGUCCUGGUCCCUCUGGUCACCAACAGCAGGUACAGAACCAAGCCUAGGGUUAUGUGGUGAUGUUUAUGGUAUUUAUCUACAUUGUGAUCUAAUAAAAAUUAUCACAAAUUUUUUAUAUGGG
rnacentral:lncRNA from 1 species